AACGAACGCUGGCGGCAGGCCUAACACAUGCAAGUCGAGCGAGGACUUCGGUCCUAGCGGCGGACGGUUGAGUAACGCGUGGGAACGUGCCCUUUGCUUCGGAAUAGCCCUGGGAAACUGGGAGUAAUACCGGAUGAGCCCUUUGGGGGAAAGAUUUAUCGGCGAAGGAUCGGCCCGCGUUGGAUUAGGUAGUUGGUGGGGUAAUGGCCUACCAAGCCGACGAUCCAUAGCUGGUUUGAGAGGAUGAUCAGCCACACUGGGACUGAGACACGGCCCAGACUCCUACGGGAGGCAGCAGUGGGGAAUCUUAGACAAUGGGGGAAACCCUGAUCUAGCCAUGCCGCGUGAGCGAUGAAGGCCUUAGGGUUGUAAAGCUCUUUCAGCUGGGAAGAUAAUGACGGUACCAGCAGAAGAAGCCCCGGCUAACUCCGUG
rnacentral:rRNA from 1 species